UGCUUCUCUUGAGAGCGGCGGACGGGUGAGUAAUGCCUAGGAAUCUGCCUGGUAGUGGGGGAUAACGUCCGGAAACGGACGCUAAUACCGCAUACGUCCUACGGGAGAAAGCAGGGGACCUUCGGGCCUUGCGCUAUCAGAUGAGCCUAGGUCGGAUUAGCUAGUUGGUGGGGUAAUGGCUCACCAAGGCGACGAUCCGUAACUGGUCUGAGAGGAUGAUCAGUCACACUGGAACUGAGACACGGUCCAGACUCCUACGGGAGGCAGCAGUGGGGAAUAUUGGACAAUGGGCGAAAGCCUGAUCCAGCCAUGCCGCGUGUGUGAAGAAGGUCUUCGGAUUGUAAAGCACUUUAAGUUGGGAGGAAGGGCAGUAAAUUAAUACUUUGCUGUUUUGACGUUACCGACAGAAUAAGCACCGGCUAACUCUGUGCCAGCAGCCGCGGUAAUACAGAGGGUGCAAGCGUUAAUCGGAAUUACUGGGCGUAAAGCGCGCGUAGGUGGUUCGUUAAGUUGGAUGUGAAAUCCCCGGGCUCAACCUGGGAACUGCAUUCAAAACUGACGAGCUAGAGUAUGGUAGAGGGUGGUGGAAUUUCCUGUGUAGCGGUGAAAUGCGUAGAUAUAGGAAGGAACACCAGUGGCGAAGGCGACCACCUGGACUGAUACUGACACUGAGGUGCGAAAGCGUGG
rnacentral:rRNA from 1 species